GACGAACGCUGGCGGCGUGCUUAACACAUGCAAGUCGAACGGUGAAGCGCCUUCCUUUUUGGUGGGUGUGGAUGAGUGGCGAACGGGUGAGUAACACGUGAGUAACCUGCCCCCUUCUUCUGGAUAACCGCAUGAAAGUGUGGCUAAUACGGGAUAUUCUGGGUCUGUCGCAUGAUGGGUCUGGGAAAGAUAUUGUUUCUGUGGGGGAUGGGCUCGCGGCCUGUCAGCUUGUUGGUGGGGUGAUGGCCUACCAAGGCGGUGACGGGUAGCCGGCCUGGGAGGGUGGACGGUCACACUGGGACUGAGACACGGCCCAGACUCCGACGGGAGGCAGCAGUGGGGAAUAUUGCACAAUGGGGGCAAGCCUGAUGCAGCGACGCCGCGUGAGGGAUGGAGGCCUUCGGGUUGUGAACCUCUUUCGCCAGUGAAGCAGGCCUGCCUCGUUUGUGGGUGGGUUGACGGUAGCUGGAUAAGAAGCGCCGGCUAACUACGUG
rnacentral:rRNA from 1 species